GUUUAAUAAAACACAGCACUCUGCAAAGACGAAAGUCGACGUAUAGGGUGUGACGCCUGCCCGGUGCUGGAAGAUUAAAUGAUGGGGUGCAAGCUCUUGACUGAAGUCCCAGUAAACGGCGGCCGUAACAAUAACGGUCCUAAGGUAGCGAAAUUCCUUGUCGGGUAAGUUCCGACCUGCACGAAUGGCGUAACGAUGGCCACACUGUCUCCUCCAGAGACUCAGCGAAGUUGAAAUGUUUGUGAUGAUGCAAUCUCCCCGCGGAAAGACGGAAAGACCCCAUGAACCUUUACUGUAGCUUUACAUUGGACUUUGAACAGAUCUGUGUAGGAUAGGUGGGAGGCUUUGAAGCCAGGAUGCUAGUUCUGGUGGAGCCAACGUUGAAAUACCACCCUGGUGUGUUUGAGGUUCUAACCUUGGCCCCUGAAUCGGGGUUGGGGACAGUGUAUGGUGGGCAGUUUGACUGGGGCGGUCUCCUCCCAAAGUGUAACGGAGG
rnacentral:rRNA from 1 species